CCUACGGGGGGCAGCAGUAGGGAAUCUUCCACAAUGGGCGAAAGCCUGAUGGAGCAACGCCGCGUGGGUGAAGAAGGUCUUCGGAUCGUAAAACCCUGUUGUUAGAGAAGAAAGUGCGUGCGAGUAACUGUUCACGUUUCGACGGUAUCUAACCAGAAAGCCACGGCUAACUACGUGCCAGCAGCCGCGGUAAUACGUAGGCGGCAAGCGUUAUCCGGAUUUAUUUGGCGUAAAGGGCACGCAGGCGGUCUUUUAAGUCUGAUGUGAAAGCCUUCGGCUUAACCGGGGUAGUGCAUUGGAAACUGGGGGACUUGAGUGCAGAAGAGGAGAGUGGAACUCCAGGUGUAGCGGUGAAAUGCGUAGAUAUAGGGAAGAACACCAGUGGCGAAAGCGGCUCUCUGGUCUGUAACUGACGCUGAGGUUCGAAAGCGUGGGUAGCAAACAGGAUUAGAUACCCUAGUAGUC
rnacentral:rRNA from 1 species